rnacentral:lncRNA from 1 species
CAAAAUCCUCACAAAAUCUCAACAAGAUCCUCACAAGAUCUUGCAAGAUCUCAAACUCUCUGCCCAUACCCCCUCCUUUCUUUCUACACUCACACAAACCCCAAAAACCAAUGCCUGCCUUCCCCUUCUCUCUCGAUAUAAACAUCAGACAACACACACAACAAUGGAGAUCAGACUUCAACUUCAUCACAUGACAAAAACCCACCCCUGCUCUCUUCUCCCUCUCGUUCUCUAGCCGACAGCCAGAGUAAAUACGACCGGUGUCGGCCACGUUCCAGCUAACCACCACAAACACCACCCUCCUCCUCCCUGUCGCACACCUACACACCUGUUGUCUUCGAUCAGUGAAACGACCGGCCACCACUACCGUCUGGUGGUGCCGCGACGCUAAACGGAGAGGAGAGAGACGGAGUCGGAGGUGCAGCGCCGCCGCCGUCAAACGGCGGGGGGUGUCGAUGAUGAUGGUGGUGCUUAGCUGGUAGCGGCGACCAUUUGGUUCAUGGUUUCGGGUGCGGUUUUCCGGUGACGGAGAUGGCACGGCGGAUGGGGGGUGUUAUCGGUAUAAUUAGCAGCGACAGUGAAGGUGAAGCUUGGUUUCGGGUCAGAAAUUGGUCCGAGUUGGGUUUGUUUCGAGUCACGACACAACGGGUCUAGGGUCGGUCAGUUUGGUCACUCAGCUUCGGGCUUGGUAUGGUUCAACAGACCUAAGGUUCAGAUGCAGUUCAGUCAACGGGCUAUAUUUCGGCGUUCGGGUCAAGGGUUGGUUCAACUUAGUUUGACUCGGUCAACCCGAGUCAACUCAGCCAACGGCAGUCAGCGGUUCGGUCAUCUGGUCAACACAGUGAGUUGACUUGGUCAACU